CAUCUUUUGAUUCUGUAUCACGUACCUCUUUUCUAUUUUCAAGUAAAUGCAUUUUUAGCUACCUGCCAGUUCUAUGAGAUUGCUUGCUAGAGUAAGGUAAUGAAGUUACAUACUCUGAUUCUAUCAGGAAAGGCGAGUUCUCAAAUUCAACAGAAAAAUCCCAAUGAAUUAACGUCAACCAAUAGAAACGCGCUAACGUUUCGACUUUUGAUUGUAUCCAAAACUUAAUUCAUGGGAUCAAUUCUUAUGAUGUUAUUGUGACAUUUUUCACCCAAUUAUGAAGUUGUCAAAGUAGUUUUGUUUAAAUGAAAAUAAUAAUUCAUAUUGAAAUGCAGUGAUUCAACAGUGCCAAAAUAAAGUAGGAGCCCAACAUAAAUGACUUUGUCCAAGUGAAUAAGGGAAGGGAUUAACAGAUAAAAUUUCAUAGAAGAUUUAGUAAAUACUCUAAAGUUCAGAAGUGAACGGCAUUCUAAAAGUCAAGUGUAAAACUCUGUACAACAAGAAUGAAAUUAACCAAGUCUUUUAGAAAGCCUUUAGUUAAAUAAAAUAAAUUAA